GUUUAGCCCCGGUAGAAGUGAAAAUCCUUUUCCUUUUUUCUUAAAAGGGAAAAGAUUGAAACGGAUGACGGGAAAUAGC
rnacentral:sRNA from 1 species